CAGAACUGGCUGGGAUGGCUUCAUAACUUCCCUUCCAACAAUAUAACAAUAUGCUUCUGUAAAUUUUCACACUGAAUUGGACAAGAAUCAGAAUAUCCUGUUUUGAACAUCUGCACAGAUUGACAAACAAAAAUGGAACAUCAAGACUGACUGGAAAUGGUGGUGUGAAAUUCAUUAAAUGCUCUUGCAAUUGCCAGAGGUGUCAAGACUGAGGAUCAGAGAAAUUAAAUAACAUGCCAAAGGUCACAGUGUCUAGUGGAGCUGGGGUCAAAUUCAGAUUAACAAAACACAUGAAAAACCCUCAACUUCUUUCAUUUGGCUGUUGAGAUAAAGGGAAAGAGAGAGUCCCCGUCCAGGCCUGCAGGAGAGGGAGAGCUGGUGGAUGUAAAUGAAAAAGCAGAGGCAUUCCUCAGGGUCUUGCUCUGUCACCCAG
rnacentral:antisense_RNA from 1 species